rnacentral:rRNA from 1 species
GCACGGGAGACAGAGCACCGGGUGCUAACGUCCGGACUCAAAAGGGAAACAACCCAGACCGCCGGCUAAGGUCCCAAAUAACAGCUAAGUGGAAAACGAAGUGGAAAGGCCGUGACAACCAGGAAGUUGGCUUAGAAGCAGCCAUCCUUCAAAGAAAGCGUAAUAGCUCACUGGUCGAGUCCUUCUGCGCGGAAGAUGUAACGGGGCUAAGCUGUUAACCGAAGCCGCGGAUGCACUGGUUAUCCAGUGCGUGGUAGGGGAGCGUUCUGUAAGUCUGCGAAGGCGGUUCGAGAGGACUGCUGGAGAUAUCAGAAGUGCGAAUGCUGACAUGAGUAACGUUAAAGCAGGUGAAAAGCCUGCUCGCCGUAAGCCCAAGGAUUCCUGCUCUACGUUCAUCGGAGCAGGGUGAGUCGGCUCCUAAGGUCAGGCCGAAAGGCGUAGCCGAUGGGAAUCAGGUUAAUAUUCCUGAACCUGCGUCAGAUGCGAUGGGGGGACGGAGCAUGGAAGAUCAUCCGGGUGUUGGAAGUCCCGGUUGUUGAGCGUAGGAGGUCUGCAGGCAAAUCCGCAGACGCAUCUCCAAGGCAAAGACACGUGCCGCCACGGCGGCGAAGUGAUCGGAAGUGCUUCCAAGAAAAGCCUCUAAGCCCCAGUCUGAUGCGGACCGUACCGCAAACCGACACUGGUGGGCGAGCUGAAUAUGCUCAGGCGCUUGAGAGAACUCGGGAGAAGGAACUCGGCAAAUUGACACCGUAACUUCGGAAGAAGGUGUGCCGUAGUACCGUGAGAGGAGAGACACCUUGAGCGGGAAACGGUCUCAGAGAAUAGGUGGCUGCGACUGUUUAUUAAAAACACAGCACUCUGCAAAGUCGAAAGACGACGUAUAGGGUGUGAUGCCUGCCCGGUGCUGGAAGAUUAAUUGAUGGGGUGAGAGCCCUUGAUCGAAGUCCCAGUAAACGGCGGCCGUAACUAUAACGGUCCUAAGGUAGCGAAAUUCCUUGUCGGGUAAGUUCCGACCUGCACGAAUGGCAUAACGAUGGCCACACUGUCUCCUCCCGAGACUCAGUGAAGUUGAAAUGUUUGUGAUGAUGCAAUCUACCCGCGGCUAGACGGAAAGACCCCAUGAACCUUUACUGCAGCUUUGCAUUGAACUGUGAACCGAUUUGUGUAGGAUAGGUGGGAGGCAGAGAAAGCGCCACGCCAGUGGUCUUGGAGCCGACCUUGAAAUACCACCCUGAUUUGUUUGCGGUUCUAACCACGGACAGUGAUCCGUGUCUUGGGACCGUGCAUGGUAGGCAGUUUGACUGGGGCGGUCUCCUCCUAAAGGGUAACGG